CUUCUCAAGAACACUUAUUAGUUAUCAUAGCCCCUAGGAACAGAGGAGCACUCCCUAUAUUUGUCGUUGGUCGACUCGACGGUAUUUGUAAACUAACCGACUUGAAUGAGCUCGGAGAUGUAAACAAAUGCCUUGGCAUCAUGUUUGCCAUAUCAUGGAUCAGUGCAGUGUGGAUGUGGAUAUCUGCUGGCAAAAUUUUAGAAAAAAAGGUCAUUAGGUUGCUCUUGUAAUAGUUUUAUGUCACUCAUUUGAGAGCACAGAGAAGAAAUGAGCAACCAGUGUUUUAAUACUGUACAUGAAAAAUUU